rnacentral:rRNA from 1 species
ACAGUGGACGCGAGCAUCUGUGGCCAAGUUUUUAAGGGCGCACGGUGGAUGCCUUGGCACCAGGAACCGAUGAAGGACGUGGGAGGCCACGAUAGUCCCCGGGGAGUCGUCAACCAGGCUUUGAUCCGGGGGUUUCCGAAUGGGGAAACCCGGCAGUCGUCAUGGGCUGUCACCCUUGUCUGAACACAUAGGGCAAGUGGAGGGAACGCGGGGAAGUGAAACAUCUCAGUACCCGCAGGAAGAGAAAACAACCGUGAUUCCGGGAGUAGUGGCGAGCGAAACUGGAUGAGGCCAAACCGUAUACGUGUGAGACCCGGCAGGGGUUGCGUAUGCGGGGUUGUGGGAUCUCUCUUUCACAGUCUGCCGGCUGUGAGACGAGUCAGAAACCGUUGAUGUAGGCGAAGGACAUGCGAAAGGUCCGGCGUAGAGGGUAAGACCCCCGUAGUCGAAACAUCAGCGGCUCGUUUGAGAGACACCCAAGUAGCACGGGGCCCGAGAAAUCCCGUGUGAAUCUGGCGGGACCACCCGCUAAGCCUAAAUAUUCCCUGGUGACCGAUAGCGGAUAGUACCGUGAGGGAAUGGUGAAAAGUACCCCGGGAGGGGAGUGAAAUAGUACCUGAAACCGUGUGCCUACAAGCCGUGGGAGCGUCGGAUAUGUGCUUGCACAUAUCUCGUGACUGCGUGCCUUUUGAAGAAUGAGCCUGCGAGUUUGCGGUGUGUUGCGAGGUUAACCCGUGUGGGGAAGCCGUAGCGAAAGCGAGUCCGAAUAGGGCGGUAUAGUAGCGCGCUCAAGACCCGAAGCGGAGUGAUCUAGCCAUGGGCAGGUUGAAGCGGAGGUAAGACUUCGUGGAGGACCGAACCCACCAGGGUUGAAAACCUGGGGGAUGACCUGUGGUUAGGGGUGAAAGGCCAAUCAAACUCCGUGAUAGCUGGUUCUCCCCGAAAUGCAUUUAGGUGCAGCGUCGUGUGUUUCUUGCCGGAGGUAGAGCACUGGAUAGGCGAUGGGCCCUACCGGGUUACUGACCUUAGCCAAACUCCGAAUGCCGGUAAGUGAGAGCGCGGCAGUGAGACUGUGGGGGAUAAGCUCCAUGGUCGAGAGGGAAACAGCCCAGAGCAUCGACUAAGGCCCCUAAGCGUACGCUAAGUGGGAAAGGAUGUGGAGUCGCAGAGACAACCAGGAGGUUGGCUUAGAAGCAGCCACCCUUGAAAGAGUGCGUAAUAGCUCACUGGUCUAGUGAUUCCGCGCCGACAAUGUAGCGGGGCUCAAGCGUACCGCCGAAGUCGUGUCAUUGCAGCAAUACUCCCAACGGAGGCUGUGAUGGGUAGGGGAGCGUCGUGUGCCGGGUGAAGCCGCGCCGGAAGGCAGUGGUGGACGGUUCACGAGUGAGAAUGCAGGCAUGAGUAGCGAUUCACACGUGAGAAACGUGUGCGCCGAUUGACUAAGGGUUCCUGGGUCAAGCUGAUCUGCCCAGGGUAAGUCGGGACCUAAGGCGAGGCCGACAGGCGUAGUCGAUGGAUAACCGGUUGAUAUUCCGGUACCCGCUGUGAAGCGUCAAACAUCGAACCCAUUAAUGCUAAGGCCGUGAAGCCGCCCUGGAGCCUUCGGGCAAAGGGGAGUGGUGGAGCCGCCGAACCAAGGUGGUAGUAGGUGAGUGAUGGGGUGACGCAGGAAGGUAGUCCAUCCCGGGCGGUGGUUGUCCCGGGGUAAGGGUGUAGGACGUCAGGUAGGCAAAUCCGCCUGACAUGUGUCUGAGACCUGAUGCCGAGCCGAUUGUGGUGAAGUGGAUGAUCCUAUGCUGUCGAGAAAAGCCUCUAGCGAGUUUCAUGGCGGCCCGUACCCUAAACCGACUCAGGUGGUCAGGUAGAGAAUACCGAGGCGUUCGGGUAAACUAUGGUUAAGGAACUCGGCAAAAUGCCCCCGUAACUUCGGGAGAAGGGGGGCCACGUCCGGUGAUUGGAUUUACUCCAUGAGCUGGGGGUGGCCGCAGAGACCAGCGAGAAGCGACUGUUUACUAAAAACACAGGUCCGUGCGAAGCCGUAAGGCGAUGUAUACGGACUGACGCCUGCCCGGUGCUGGAACGUUAAGGGGACCGGUUAGCUCCAUUUCGGUGGGGCGAAGCUGAGAACUUAAGCGCCAGUAAACGGCGGUGGUAACUAUAACCAUCCUAAGGUAGCGAAAUUCCUUGUCGGGUAAGUUCCGACCUGCACGAAUGGCGUAACGACUUCUCGACUGUCUCAACCAUAGGCCCGGUGAAAUUGCACUACGAGUAAAGAUGCUCGUUUCGCGCAGCAGGACGGAAAGACCCCGGGACCUUUACUACAGUUUGAUAUUGGUGUUCGGUUCGGCUUGUGUAGGAUAGCUGGGAGACUGUGAACUCUGGACGCCAGUUCAGGGGGAGUCGUCGUUGAAAUACCAGUCUGGUCGUGCUGGAUGUCUAACCUGGGUCCGUGAUCCGGAUCAGGGACAGUGUCUGAUGGGUAGUUUAACUGGGGCGGUUGCCUCCUAAAGAGUAACGGAGGCGCCCAAAGGUUCCCUCAGCCUGGUUGGCAAUCAGGUGUUGAGUGUAAGUGCACAAGGGAGCUUGACUGUGAGACCGACGGGUCGAGCAGGGACGAAAGUCGGGACUAGUGAUCCGGCGGUGGCUUGUGGAAGCGCCGUCGCUCAACGGAUAAAAGGUACCCCGGGGAUAACAGGCUGAUCUUCCCCAAGAGUCCAUAUCGACGGGAUGGUUUGGCACCUCGAUGUCGGCUCGUCGCAUCCUGGGGCUGGAGUCGGUCCCAAGGGUUGGGCUGUUCGCCCAUUAAAGCGGUACGCGAGCUGGGUUUAGAACGUCGUGAGACAGUUCGGUCCCUAUCCGCUGCGCGCGCAGGAAUAUUGAGAAGGGCUGUCCCUAGUACGAGAGGACCGGGACGGACGAACCUCUGGUGUGCCAGUUGUUCUGCCAAGGGCAUGGCUGGUUGGCUACGUUCGGGAGGGAUAACCGCUGAAAGCAUCUAAGCGGGAAGCCUGCUUCGAGAUGAGUAUUCCCACCCACUUGAUGGGGUAAGGCUCCCAGUAGACGACUGGGUUGAUAGGCCGGAUCUGGAAGCACGGUAACGUGUGGAGGUGACCGGUACUAAUAGGCCGAGGGCUUGUCCUCAGUUG